UGAGCCCUGAGAUAUGGUUUGAUGAUCAGACGGUGCAUAGCAAAGUAGACCACCAGAGGCCCCACGGUGGCGUAGAACACAGCACUGGGGAGAAGCUGAUCCGUCAAAUGGAUUGGGAAGAAGUUUCCUAUUCCAAAGGGGAGCUGCUGGGUUUGAAGUAUGUGACAGAAGAAAGGUCCCACUAACUGCUGACCUCAAGGGCAAAGCAAUGGAGCUAAAGCAUUACAAGGUCUUAAGCCUGAAGGCAAGUCCCAGUUGGUACCAUGUGAUGUGGCUGAAACUUGGAAAGAAACCUGCAGUGCUACUAGAUUAAAGAACCAGAGCUCAGAGUUUGGGGCAACCAAAGCAGCUGGAAUGUUGGGGGCCCCCAUAAAAGAGAACCAGAGAUGGGGAGCCUGAACUUCUGUGUGUAAAUGUGGCACAGAUCUCUAGUGGAUCCCUGAUCUAUCAGGUAGCCGAGCUAAGGCUAAAAUAACUACUGAGAUUUUGACUACUGCUCAACACAGGUGAGUCAGGGUUUGCAAUUUUGAGUUCAACUUUAUAAAAUGAAAAAUCAAUACUCUUUGGAGAAACAUAACAAAUACAGUCUUUACAAUGUGUCAUUCAUAAUAUCCAGACUAAAAUUCCAAACUAUUCUACAUACAAGGAAACAGGAAGACAUGACUCAUACUCAAGAGAAAAAGAUAAUCAGAGACCAACUCCAAGAUGAUCCAGAUGCUGGCGGCAGCAGAUAUGGAUUUUAAAGCAGGUAUUAGAACUAUGGAAAGGAAAACAUACUUGUAAUGAACGAAAAGAUUUAUGAAAUCUCAGCUGAGAAACAAACUAUAAAAAGAAUCAAAUAGAAAUUCUAGAACUGAAAAACAGUAUCUGAAUGAAAUAGUCAUUGGAUGGGUUUCAGAGCAGACUCAGAUGAGAAAAGAGUGAACUUGAAGAUAGAUCAAUAAAAAUGAUCUAAUAUGAAGAACAAAGAGAAAAAGGACUAAUGACAAAUGGACAGAGCCUCAUAAACCUGUGGGACAACAUCAAAAGGUUUGCCAUACGGUUAAUGAGAGACCCAGAGAGGAAAGAGAAUGGGGCGAAAAAGAUAUUUGAAGAAUUUAUGGUUUAAAAAUUCCAAAUUUGAUGUAGGACAUAAUUUACAGAUGCAGGAAGUGUAAAACAUAACGAAAACUAUGUCUAGGUCCAUCAUAGUCAAACUGCUGAAAAGCAAAAAUAGAAAAUCUUGAGCAGCAAGGGAAAAUAAAGACAUAUUACAUACAGGGGAAAAAUGAUUCCAAUGACUACUGACUCCUCAUCAGAAACAAUGGAGGCCAAAAGGCAGUACAACAGCAUCAUUAGAGUGCUGAAAGGAAAGCAAAACAAAACAACAAAAACCUGUUAACCCUGAAUUCUAUAUCCAGUGAAAAUAUUCUUUCAGAAUAAAAGCAAUUCCAGAAUUUAUAGCAAAUACUCAAAACUCAAAAAUAAGAAAUCAAACCCCCCCAUAAUAAGAUAGAUAAAAGGUAUGAAUAGAUGCUUCAUUAAAGAACAUAUAUGAAUGGCAGAUAACAACGUGAAAAGAUGUUCAACAUCACUAGAUGUUACGGAAAUGCAAAUCAAAACCACAAUGAGAUACACCUAUAUACCUACUAAAACAGUGAAGAAAAAGAAACAAAAUUAACUGUACCAAGGGUUGGUGAGGAUAUGGAGCAAAAAGAAUUCUCAUAAGCUGCUGGUGAGAAUGUAAAAUGAGACAACUGCUGGAAAACAGUUUGGCAGUUUCUGAUAAAGUUGAACACACACUUACCUAUGACCCAGCAAUUCCACUCCUAGGUAUUUACCUAAGAGAAAUGAAAACUUAUGUUCACAUAAAACCUGUAUGUGAAUGUUUAUAUGGUGAUUAUUUGUAAUCACCAAAAACUGGAAACAACUGAAAUGUCCUUCAACUGGUAAACAGAAAAACAAAUCAUGGUACAUCCGUACAAUGGAAUACUACUCAGCAGUAAAAAGCAACAAUAUAGAUGAAUCACAAAUGUAUUAUGCUCAGUUAAAGAAAACCAAAAACCAAACCCCUUGUCGUUGAUUGAUUCUGACUCAU